rnacentral:rRNA from 1 species
CGAAAGCCUGACGGAGCAAGACCGCGUGAGGGAGGAAGGCUCUUGGGUUGUAAACCUCUUUUCUCAGGGAAGAAGCUCUGACGGUACCUGAGGGAAUCAGCCUCGGCUAACUCCGUGCCAGCAGCCGCGGUAAUACGGAGGAGGCAAGCGUUAUCCGGAAUUAUUGGGCGUAAAGCGUCCGCAGGUGGCGUAUUCAAGUCUGCUGUCAAAGCACGGGGCUUAACUCCGUUAAGGCAGUGGGAAACUGAAUAGCUAGAGUGCCGUAGGGGUAGAGGGAAUUCCCGGUGUAGCGGUGAAAUGCGUAGAGAUCGGGAAGAACAUCGGUGGCGAAAGCGCUCUACUGGACGGCAACUGACACUCAGGGACGAAAGCUAGGGGAGCG